UGAUGCCUACGGGGCGCAGCAGUGAGGAAUAUUGGUCAAUGGGCGCGAGCCUGAACCAGCCAAGUAGCGUGAAGGAUGACUGCCCUACGGGUUGUAUACUUCUUUUAUAAAGGAAUAAAGUGAGGCACGUGUGCCUUUUUGUAUGUAUUUUAUGAAUAAGGAUCGGCUAACUCCGUGCCAGCAGCCGCGGUAAUACGGAGGAUCCGAGCGUUAUCCGGAUUUAUUAGGUUUAAAGGGAGCGUAGAUGAGUUGUUAAGUCAGUUGUGAAAGUUUGCGGCUCAACCGUAAAAUUGCAAUUGAUACUG
rnacentral:rRNA from 1 species